UUGGGAUUCUCUUUCUCUCCCUCUCACGUGUUCUCUCUCUCUCUCUCAAAACAGAUAAACACACUUAAAAAAAAUAAUUAAAAACAAAUCAAUUCAGUAGGGUAUGGCUAGAAUUUUAUUUUAUUUUUUUAAGUAGGCUUCACCCCCAGGAUGGAGCCCAAUGCAGGGCUUGGGCUCACAACCCUGAGAUCAAGACCUGACCUGAGAUCAGGAGUCAGAUGCUCAACCAACUGAGCCACUCAGGCACUCCUUAAAAAGUGAAACAGAAUAAGGAAAUAUCAGAGAUUACCACAGGUGGUAAGGCUAAGUGUUUGAUCAAAUUUUUAAAUUUUUAAAAAAUGUUUAUUUUAUUUUUGAGAGAAAGUGAGUGUGAGCAGGGGAGGAGCAGAGAGAGAGGGAGACACAGAAUCCCAAGCAGGCUCCAGGCUCUGAGCUGUCAGUACAGAGCCUGAGGCAGGGCUCAAACCCACAAACCAUAAGAUCAUGACCUGAGCCAAAGUCAGACGCUUAGCUGACUGGGCCACCCAGGUGCCCCUGUUUGGUCAAAUUUUAUAGGCAUUCAGCUGCAAUGUAAGAUGCAUUUCAUUCAGAAAGAUCUGAAAGAUGAGAUUUUUUUUUUAAGGAUUCAUUUCUAGAAUGGGACAUCUUACAUAGUAUUCUGUGUUAAUUUUGGUAGAGUUUAAAUCAGCAGUCCCAUAAAGAAAAAAAACACUUGCUGAAAUUUAAGGGAAGGCCCUUUUUAUUAAGCUUGUACAUUUUAUUCUCUUCCUUUCAGAAGCCUAAUAAAAAAAAAUUUGUUACUGCUUACUUAAAAAACACACACACACACA